CGCCGGCGACGCUUGGAUCCGACCGGCCACCACACCCCCACACCAGGAGGCAGCAGCCUCUUCUCCUGACGGCAGGUAACCCUCCCCAAUCCCUGAACUCACAUCCUCUCCUCCACUUCUUGACCUGUUUUAUUCAGAUUUGAUCUUCCAUUAAGCUGCUGGAUGUUGUGCUUGCUGCUUGCUAGCUGCUGCUCUUUGAAUGCCUGUAGAUUGUAGUAGUAGUGUACUAGACUACUAGUGUAGUACUGCUUGUCUGCUUCAGUGCUUCUUUUUCCUAGCUUAAUAUCAUCCUGCUCAUGAAUGCUUGUAGAGCAUGGCAUCUGGGAGUGGCACAGCUGGGUUAUGUCUUCAACUCUUCUAAUCUUCUUUACUGUUCGAUGUGCUUUGCAAGAUGCAACUUGCAAUGACAUGGGGGGACAAGAAUCAAUCAAGCACUUGAUAAAAGAGACAACCGAAUGGGGGCAGUAUCUCUAUUCUAAUCUUUUUCUCCUUUAUUUUCUGUAUUAACUCUAUAUUACAUGACAUAUUUUUAUUUUAUUUUAUAUAUGCUCACCGUAUCCCCGAAUGGCUGUUUUUGGAAAAUGCCGUAUCCCGUAUCCCCGUAUGCGUAUCCCCGACUUUCCGUCCCCGUGUCCGUGCUUU
rnacentral:lncRNA from 1 species